rnacentral:rRNA from 1 species
AUUGAACGCUGGCGGCAUGCCCUACACAUGCAAGUCGAACGCGAAAGGGGGGCAACCCCCGAGUAGAGUGGCGCACGGGUGAGUAAUGCAUCGGAACGUGUCCAGUAGCGGGGGAUAACCUAGCGAAAGCUAGGCUAAUACCGCAUACGCCCUAAGGGGGAAAGUGGGGGAUCGUAAGACCUCACACUAUAGGAGCGGCCGAUGCCGGAUUAGCUAGUUGGUGGGGUAAAAGCUCACCAAGGCGACGAUCCGUAGCUGGUCUGAGAGGAUGAUCAGCCACACUGGGACUGAGACACGGCCCAGACUCCUACGGGAGGCAGCAGUGGGGAAUUUUGGACAAUGGGGGAAACCCUGAUCCAGCCAUGCCGCGUGAGUGAAGAAGGCCUUCGGGUUGUAAAGCUCUUUCGGCCGGGACGAAAUCGCACGCGUGAAUAUCGUGUGCGGAUGACGGUACCGGCAGAAGAAGGACCGGCUAACUACGUGCCAGCCGCCGCAGUAA